AGAGGUGGUGCAUGGCCGUCGUCAGUUCGUACUGUGAAGCAUCCUGUUAAGUCAGGCAACGAGCGAGACCCACGCCCACAGUUGCCAGCGUACUCUCUGGAGUGACGGGUACACUGUGGGACCGCCGCUGCUAAAGCGGAGGAAGGAAUGGGCAACGGUAGGUCAGUAUGCCCCGAAUAUCCCGGGCUACACGCGAGCUACAAUGGUUGGUACAAUGGGUAUCUACCCCGAAAGGGGACGGGAAUCUCCUAAAACCAAUCUUAGUUCGGAUUGAGGGCUGCAACUCGCCCUCAUGAAGCUGGAAUCCGUAGUAAUCGCGUUUCAACAGAACGCGGUGAAUACGUCCCUGCUCCUU
rnacentral:rRNA from 1 species